rnacentral:rRNA from 1 species
GACGAACGCUGGCGGCGCGCCUAACACAUGCAAGUCGAGCGAGAACCAGGGCUUCGGCCCUGGGGACAGCGGCGAACGGGUGAGUAACACCUGGGUAAUCUACCUCCGAAUUGGGGAUAACAUUGCGAAAGCGGUGCUAAUACCGAAUGACAUCCCCGGGACUCCGGUCUUGGUGAUCAAAGGUGGCCUCUACAUGUAAGCUAUCGUUUGGAGUUGAGCCCGCGUUCCAUUAGCUAGUUGGUAGGGUAAUGGCCUACCAAGGCUGCGAUGGUUAGCUGGUCUGAGAGGAUGAUCAGCCACACUGGAACUGACACACGGUCCAGACUCCUACGGGAGGCAGCAGUGAGGAAUUUUGCGCAAUGGGGGAAACCCUGACGCAGCAACGCCGCGUGAGUGAUGAAGGCCUUCGGGUCGUAAAGCUCUGUCAAGUGGGAAGAACCUGCUUCGCGCUAAUACCGCGAAGCACUGACGGUACCACUGAAGGAAGCACCGGCUAACUCCGUGCCAGCCGCCGCUGUAAGAC